rnacentral:rRNA from 1 species
GGCUCAGAAUCAACGCUGGCGGCGUGCCUAACACAUGCAAGUCGAACGAGAAAGUGGGGGCAACCCCAUGAGUAAAGUGGCAGACGGGUGAGUAACACGUGAACAACCUACCCUCGAGUGUGGGAUAACACCGCGAAAGCGGUGCUAAUACCACAUAAUAUCUUCGGGUCGCAUGAUUUGAAGAUCAAAAGCGCAAGUUGCUUGAGGAGGGGUUCGCGCCUGAUUAGCUAGUUGGUGAGGUAACGGCCCACCAAGGCUUCGAUCAGUAGCCGGCCUGAGAGGGCGAACGGCCACACUGGAACUGAGACACGGUCCAGACUCCUACGGGAGGCAGCAGUGGGGAAUUUUGCGCAAUGGGCGAAAGCCUGACGCAGCAACGCCGCGUGGAGGAUGAAGGCCUUCGGGUCGUAAACUCCUGUCAGUAGGGACGAAUGCCUCGCAAGAGGUUUGACUGUACCUGCUGAGGAAGCCACGGCUAACUCCGUGCCAGCAGCCGCGGUAAUACGGAGGUGGCAAGCGUUGUUCGGAAUUACUGGGCGUAAAGGGCGCGUAGGCGGUAUUGCAAGUCAGAUGUGAAAGCCCCGAGCUUAACUCGGGAAUUGCAUCUGAAACUGCUUUGCUUGAGUCCUGGAGGGGGUAGUGGAAUACCCAGUGUAGCGGUGAAAUGCGUAGAUAUUGGGAGGAACACCUGCGGCGAAGGCGGCUACCUGGACAGUGACUGACGCUGAGGCGCGAAAGCUAGGGGAGCGAACGGGAUUAGAUACCCCGGUAGUCCUAGCUGUAAACGAUGGGCACUUGGUGUUGGGGGUAUUGAGUCCCUCGGUGCCGGAGUUAACACGUUAAGUGCCCCGCCUGGGGAGUACGGUUCGCAAGA